UUAAGUUCAGCGGGUUUUCUUGCUCGAUUUCAGACCAAGUUGUCAGAGCUGAUCACAAAACUUGCAAUCAGAUCUGUGUUUAUUGGAAUUGCAUACGUUGCCAUACCAGCUGAUCAACAAAGUGUUCCAUUAUCUGUUGCACUGAGCAUUUCGACCGAUAAGUAUCGACGUACACACAAUCAUUUCAAAGCGAUUUUCUU
rnacentral:misc_RNA from 1 species